AUGCGCCUCGACAUAGCCCAUGAAUCCCGCAUCCUCUCCACACUGGAAUUCAACCUUCGGCGAUUCCUCAAGCAGAGGCUGCUUGGCCUCGCCGCGAUUGAGCGAGCGCGCAAGCGUCAAGCCUCUCAGCUGACUUGGCUCAAGCUGGGCGACGCGGGAACCAAGUUUUUCCAUGCAAAGUUUUGUUCACGCUGAAGGAAGAACUACAUUCACAGCCUGCUGACAAACAACGGGAUCGCCACGUCGCACGAAGACAAGGAAACAACCAUUUUCGAACACUUCAACUCCAUCCUCGACUCCAAAGGGGCUCAACCAGCAACCAUCAACUGGAUCCAACUUCAACUACCCACAAUCAGAGGAGGUGGCCUAGAUAACCCUUUCUCAUAGGAUGAGGUUUGGGAAGCGAUCAAGGCCUCGCCGGUGGAAAAGGCUCCGUUACCGACGACUUCAUUGGAGUUUUCUUCCGUAGCUGCUGGCAAAUCAUCAAGCACGACAUCAUGA
rnacentral:rRNA from 1 species